rnacentral:rRNA from 1 species
CAUCCUCCAAGGCUAAAUACUCCUGACUGACCGAUAGUGAACCAGUACCGUGAGGGAAAGGCGAAAAGAACCCCGGCGAGGGGAGUGAAAAAGAACCUGAAACCGUGUACGUACAAGCAGUGGGAGCCUCUUAAUGGGGUGACUGCGUACCUUUUGUAUAAUGGGUCAGCGACUUAUAUUCUGUAGCAAGGUUAACCGAAUAGGGGAGCCGAAGGGAAACCGAGUCUUAACUGGGCGUUAAGUUGCAGGGUAUAGACCCGAAACCCGGUGAUCUAGCCAUGGGCAGGUUGAAGGUUGGGUAACACUAACUGGAGGACCGAACCGACUAAUGUUGAAAAAUUAGCGGAUGACUUGUGGCUGGGGGUGAAAGGCCAAUCAAACCGGGAGAUAGCUGGUUCUCCCCGAAAGCUAUUUAGGUAGCGCCUCGUGAAUUCAUCUCCGGGGGUAGAGCACUGUUUCGGCAAGGGGGUCAUCCCGACUUACCAACCCGAUGCAAACUGCGAAUACCGGAGAAUGUUAUCACGGGAGACACACGGCGGGUGCUAACGUCCGUCGUGAAGAGGGAAACAACCCAGACCGCCAGCUAAGGUCCCAAAGUCAUGGUUAAGUGGGAAACGAUGUGGGAAGGCCCAGACAGCCAGGAUGUUGGCUUAGAAGCAGCCAUCAUUUAAAGAAAGCGUAAUAGCUCACUGGUCGAGUCGGCCUGCGCGGAAGAUGUAACGGGGCUAAACCAUGCACCGAAGCUGCGGCAGCGACACUAUGUGUUGUUGGGUAGGGGAGCG